AUUGAACGCUGGCGGCAGGCCUAACACAUGCAAGUCGCGCGAGCGGCGGACGGGUGAGUAAUGUAUGGGGACUGCCCGAUAGAGGGGGAUAACUUCUGGAAACGGUGGCUAAUACCGCAUACUAUCGGAUAACCCAUAUGGGAUUAGCUAGUAGGGGGGGUAAAGGCUCACCUAGGCGACGAUGUCUAGACGGUCUGAGAGGAUGAUCAGCCAUUCUGGGACUGGGACACGGCCCAGACUCCUACGGAGGCAGCAGUGGGGAAUAUUGCACAAUGGGCGAAAGCCUGAUGCAGCCAAGCCGCGUGUCUGAAGAAGGCCUUAGGGUUGUAAAGUACUUUCAGCGGAGAGGCGUUACUCGCAGAAGAAGCACCGGCUAACUCCGUGCCAGCCGCCGCGGUAAUAC
rnacentral:rRNA from 1 species